rnacentral:rRNA from 1 species
UACGUUCCCGGGCCUUGUACACACCGCCCGUCAAGCCAUGGAAGCUGGGGGUGCCUGAAAUCGGUGACCGCAAGGAGCUGCCUAGGGUAAAACUAGUAACUAGGGCU